AGCUUGAGACUUUAGCGAUCCCUAGUGCUCAUGUUUAAGCCACCAGUAACUUGACCUGAUGCACAGACUCGUCAUGUGUAUGACAAUGAUGAGCCUGUUUGGCUGCAUGCUGAUGGCUUGGUUGGCCAGGAGGACAGGCUGGGUAAAAGAGCAAGAAGACGAAGGAGGCACAAACGCUGGCACUGUGAUUUCCUCCCACCUUCCAGUACUCAGUGUUCCAGCCCUUCGUUCCCUCUCUUACUCAACACCUCUGAGUCUUCUCGCCUCUCUCCAUCCCUUGGCCCCCCUGCAAGGUCAUUCCCAAGGACGCUCCCAGCAUCCCCCUGUCUGAUUGGCCGAUGGGCAUUAAAGGGCCGGUUCCC